AUUUGGGGGCAACUCCAAGUUCAGUGGCAGACGGGUGCGUAACACGUGAGCAACUUGUCCGACGGCGGGGGAUAGCCGGCCUAACGGCCGGGUAAUACCGCGUACGCUCAUUUGGGGACAUCCCUGGGUGAGGAAAGCCGCAAGGCACCGACGGAGAGGCUCGCGACCUAUCAGCUAGUUGGCGGGGUAACGGCCCACCAAGGCUACGACGGGUAGCUGGUCUGAGAGGACGAUCAGCCACAUUGGGACUGAGACACGGCCCAGACUCCUACGGGAGGCAGCAGUGGGGAAUAUUGCGCAAUGGCCGCAAGGCUGACGCAGCGACGCCGCGUGUGGGAUGACGGCCUUCGGG
rnacentral:rRNA from 1 species